UACUGGUUGAACUGUCAGGUUGUUGACAUGGAUAUUACUUGCUUCACAGACAGAGCCGGAAACACAAGUGACUACCGAAAUUGGUCUAAUGAUUCAAGCUCAUACGAGAGUACCGACUGCGUGGAUGUGAACAUUUGGAGUGGCUAUUGGUUCACAUAUAGCUGUUCGUAUCCGUACGAUUUAACCGCUUGUCAAGUGAAUGUAUUUGCCUAAAUAAAUACACCGACAUAAAAUGCACUAAAUACCCUUCUUUAGCAUGUUUAGUAGAAGAGAGUGAAAA